GACGAACGCUGGCGGCGUGCCUAAUACAUGCAAGUAGGACGCAGUUGCGAACGGGAGAGUAACGCGUAGGUAACUACCUAUUAGAGGGGGAUAACUAUUGGAAACGAUAGGUAAGACCGCAGAAGAGUAGAUGGACAUGCGUUGUAUUAGCUAGUAGGUAGGGUAAUGGCCUACCUAGGCAACGAUACAUAGCCGACCUGAGAGGGGGACCGGCCACACUGGGACUGAGACACGGCCCAGACUCCUACGGGAGGCAGCAGUAGGGAAUCUUCGGCAAUGGGGGGAACCCUGACCGAGCAACGCCGCGUGAGUUAAGAAGGUUUUCGGAUCGUAAAGCUCUGUUGUUAAGGAAGCGGUACUUCCCCCGAAAGGGCCGGCUAACUACGUGCCAGCAGCCGCGGUACUAC
rnacentral:rRNA from 1 species